GUGGGGAAUUUUGGACAAUGGGCGCAAGCCUGAUCCAGCAAUGCCGCGUGCAGGAUGAAGGCCUUCGGGUUGUAAACUGCUUUUGUACGGAACGAAAAGCCCUGGGUUAAUACCCUGGGGUCAUGACGGUACCGUAAGAAUAAGCACCGGCUAACUACGUGCCAGCAGCCGCGGUAAUACGUAGGGUGCGAGCGUUAAUCGGAAUUACUGGGCGUAAAGCGUGCGCAGGCGGUAUUGUAAGACAGAGGUGAAAUCCCCGGGCUCAACCUGGGAACUGCCUUUGUGACUGCAAGGCUAGAGUACGGCAGAGGGGGAUGGAAUUCCGCGUGUAGCAGUGAAAUGCGUAGAUAUGCGGAGGAACACCGAUGGCGAAGGCAAUCCCCUGGGCCUGUACUGACGCUCAUGCACGAAAGCGUGGGGAGCAAACAGGAUUAGAAACCCUUGUAGUCC
rnacentral:rRNA from 1 species